rnacentral:rRNA from 1 species
AGCAGCCGCGGUAAUUCCAGCUCCAAUAGCGUAUAUUAAAGUUGUUGCAGUUAAAAGCUGUAGUUGAAUUUUCGGGGAUUAGUCAAAUUGCUGCUUGGGGUUCCGGUUGGCCCUUUUCGAUACGGGGUCAACCGUUGGACCUGGAUUUGUUAAUUCGGUUUGGCCUUUCCACCUUUCUGAAGCCAACCUUCUGGACCGGAAAUCCGUCAAUUUAAUUUCGGAUUUUGCAUUUCGAAUUUGGGGGGUAAGUUGGCCAGGGGGGAAAUCCUAGGGUUAAC